UGAGAUGAGACACGGUGUGGCUAUAGUGCAUAGUUUGAUAUGUGUAUGAGGGAAAAGAAUCGAGAGGCUUAGAAGGAGCAGAGGAAACAUGAUGAAAAGAAUAGAAAAUUGGCUAAAGAAAUGAAAAGAAGAAGAAGAAGAAAGAAACAGAAACAAAAUGAGAACAAGAACAAAAACAAGAAAAAAUCUGUUAAAAGUUUUAAUAAUUUCUCUGAAAAGGUUUUUGUGAUUUUCUGUAAAUAUGAGUAUUGUAC
rnacentral:lncRNA from 1 species